ensembl:lncRNA
UGUUGACAGGGGAGAUUGGUCCUUUAUAGUUCUAGACUUACAGAUAUGCUCAUAAACCAGAGAUCCCUUAACAGUAACAAUUACCAUUUCUUGAGCAUUGUGAUGGUCAAUUCACUUAUCUUCUCUGCCUCUCUGGGCUCUGCAAGCCUGACCUCUGUGGACUGCUUGAUCCAGGUUUGGAGCCCUCAGUUUCACCCAUGGAAGCCAUACACAAGAGAUCAGAAGGCAGGAAAACAGAGGGUCAUCAUUGCCAUCUUCCUAAAUUCCAUAUAUAUGUGUUAGUAUACUGAAUCCAGAGGCUAGGUAAAGAUGGCGGAGGAAUAGGACGGGAAGACCACUUUCUCCCUCACAAAUUCUUCAAAAGAACAUUUCAAUGCUGAGCAAACUCCACAAAACAACUUCUGUAGGCUGGCAGAGGACAUCAGGCAACCAGAAAAGCAGACCAUUGUCUUCAAAAACAGAAAUGUGCAGAAAAUUGAGAGCCAGAUCCCCCUUCUGUGGCUACUAAGAACAAACAAAACAACCCUGAAGUCUCCCGGUGAUCGCUCCAAUCCCCAGACCCUCUCCCCAACCCAGCCUGAGAAGCAUCCCACUACUGGGGGAAGAGGAGGGCUGGGGAAGACUGUUAAAGCUUCCAAGUACAAAUGAAGUGACCCUCGUCAAGCAACAGAGAAACAAAUUCUCCAGCAGCUAUUUCCUGUCUGACAGUUGGCGUGCUUCACUGACUGUAGUGUCAGCCUCGAAACCUUCAUCAUAAGUGUCAUUUGGUCUUAACUUUGCAAUAAGAAUUCCACCCAUGUGCCCAGGGCUCCUCUGGCAGCCUCUUCCGUCUCCACUGGCCAAUCGAGGUAACUUUCAACAGCUUGAUUCCUACAGCGCCUGGGCAUACUUCCAUGACAGCACUGUGCACACGAUGCUGAAAUGAUUGCUUUCCACAGAAAUCUCCCUCACCAAACUGUCAACUCCUGAGAAAUGACCCCAUCCAUCUCUGAGACCUGCAGUCCUAAUAGAGCGCAUUGCUCCAAAUUUGAAGGAGGAAGAAAGGAAAAGAGAGCAGAGGAAAGGAAAAGGGAAAAAAUAAGAGGGAGAAGGACAGAAUAUACACAAUCCAAUAAAUAUUUCUAGGUUCUG